AAUAAAGGAUGUUCGACUAAAAACACCACAUCCUGUGGCAACGUCGAACUACCCGCAGCGCUGA
rnacentral:sRNA from 1 species